GUACGCUGACAACCCUGCGAAGGAGGAGCAGUAUUUUAACAAACAGCUGAGACAUCAGUGGGGCAGCGUAACAGGAGAGCAUGCUGCCUCACAUGCCUAUGGUAGGGAUCAGUCCAGCCCCAACUCCACCGUCUAUAAAGAACAAAGGAAGAGAGAGAAACAGCGGCUGGAGAAGGAGAGAAAGGAGCAAAAAGAGAG